rfam:Asian citrus Psyllid, Diaphorina citri - Florida Strain, whole genome shotgun sequence.
GCCGGCGGUGACAGCACGUUGAAUGAAGCAAUUUCCCAUAGAUCACUGAAGUUAAGCAAGGGUGCGCGUGGUUAGUAUCCGGAUGGGUGACCAACUGGCAAAUCAUGUGCUGAUGGCU